rnacentral:tRNA from 1 species
GACACAUGCAGUGGCCUAAUGGUUAGCGCGUUGGACUCUGGAUUGAACGGUCCGGGUUCGAGCGCUGGCUGGGUCA